GUGUUUAGUGAGAGCACAGCUUCCGUCUGCGCUCCUUCAACGUUGUUCUUACUGCUGCUCAAAUAGCUUCGGUUCGGACCUCCACUGCUCUAGAUGGCAAUGACCUGCUUCACUUCACCAAGGACCAAGCCGGGUAUGUGCUGCCCGUGCAGACCCAUUCUGAAGAUCCACUGCUUCUGACAGACAAAGUGGCAUUUCCUGACUGUCCCCAUCCCCGUCUGAGUUAUCUGACACCCCAAAAUACGGCUACGGGGAAGCAGGGAGACGAGGCACCACAGCCUUAUCCUGUGGGCCUCAAUGAAGCGGCCCAACACACACCGUCCACUCUGCGAGCUGCGCCGUCUAUUUGCACGGUAUAGGAUUUGCAUAUCUGCAGCUCAUGAAGCAAGGCUUUAAUUUCCUCCUGCUGCAGAUAAACAUCACCUUGUUGGAGCAGAUGGGUGGAGGCAGAAUGGGGUCAAUGACGAAGAAGCAGGACAAUGGUGUUGGUUCAGGCACUGAAUGGCCAGAAGUAAUAAAAUUGCACAAUUUCCAUAUGGUGGCCAAUUCUAUUUUUCCUUUUCUUUUUGAUGAAUCAGGAUCCAGUGUGAUAUGACGAGAUGCUGUGGUAUUCUGUAUCUGUUCGGGGGGGGGAGAAAUGUUGGAACUAUAUCC